AGCGAACGUUAGCGGCGGGCUUAACACAUGCAAGUCGAGCGGAGAUGAGGUGCUUGCACCUUAUCUUAGCGGCGGACGGGUGAGUAAUGCUUAGGAAUCUGCCUAUUAGUGGGGGACAACAUUCCGAAAGGAAUGCUAAUACCGCAUACGCCCUACGGGGGAAAGCAGGGGAUCUUCGGACCUUGCGCCAAUAGAUGAGCCUAAGUCGGAUUAGCUAGUUGGUGGGGUAAAGGCCUACCAAGGCGACGAUCUGUAGCGGGUCUGAGAGGAUGAUCCGCCCGACUGGGACUGAGACACGGCCCAGACUCCUACGGGAGGCAGCAGUGGGGAAUAUUGGACAAUGGGCGGAAGCCUGAUCCAGCCAUGCCGCGUGUGUGAAGAAGGCCUUUUGGUUGUAAAGCACUUUAAGCGAGGAGGAGGCUACCUGGAUUAAUACUCUAGGAUAGUGGACGUUACUCGCAGAAUAAGCACCGGCUAACUCUGUGCCAGCCGCCGCCGUAACAC
rnacentral:rRNA from 1 species